GGAAGGGCCAGUCUUACUUUCACCAUGCUCACCCCAACAGCACUGAGUCUGUUUCCAGGCAGUGAACAAGCAGGGCUGAGAACUUGCUCCAGAGUACCCACCUCCCAGCUGCAAAGCAAAUAAAGCUUUCCUUCUUUCCCCACCUGUGGAAUCUGCAAGCCAGCUUCACCCCUCCCAUCGAGUUCUGGUCAGGAGGCUUCUGGUUGAGUUCAAAUUGCUAUAAAGUUCAGCUGGAGCCUUCCUUCUCCCUGUGGCCUUUUCCCAGUACCUCUGGCCACCCUCCCGAAGGACCUUUGUAAGGCCAGGCAAAAAUGGCUUGCUAGGGGACCCAGUGAUCUCCCAGGGCUUUUUCCAACUGCUUCCUCUUCCCCUAUAUUUUGCUUGGCUCUCUAAAUCGACUCAGCUCCAGAGGGUCUCCCUCUGUUGCCCAGGCUGGAGGACAGUGGUAUAAUCAUAGCUAACUGCAGCUUUGAACUCCUGAGAACAGCAAUCCUCCUUCCUCGGUCUUCCGCAGCAUUGGGAUUACAGGUCCUGAAGAAAAUGAAGUUGAUGUUUCAGUGAGACACCUGUAUGCCAGAGAGUAAAAGGGAUUAUUGUGGAUUCCUGAGAAUUUUCUACAUAUGAAAUCAUGUCAUCUAUGAACAGAGAUGGGACUGUCUCGUUGGAGGAAAACAAGCUCAGGGCUCCCACUGAUUCCACAUUAUGUUGCAAGCUCCUACGAAGCUCCCACUCAAAAAGAAAAAAAAAACAAAACCUGAAAUCUGAAAUAGAAAUUAUCAGCCCGAGAAUGAGAUGUCCCUAAUGCAUAAAGAGUUCUGCUAAGGAAAUGAAGCAUGUUCUUCAAGCAAGAAAGAAACUCUUUUCUGGAUUACAGUUAUUCUGACAGCCACAGGCCUCACAGAACUAGCAUAGCCAAGAUUU
rnacentral:lncRNA from 1 species